rnacentral:rRNA from 1 species
GUAGGGAAUAUUGGGCAAUGGAUGCAAGUCUGACCCAGCCAUCCCGCGUGCCGGAAGAAGGCCCUCAGGGUUGUAAACGGCUUUUGACGGUGAAGAAUCGACAGGAUGCGCCCUGUUUUGACGGUAGCCGUUGAAUAAGCACCGGCUAACUCCGUGCCAGCAGCCGCGGUAAUACGGAGGGUGCGAGCGUUGUCCGGAUUUAUUGGGUUUCAAGGGUGCGUAGGCUGGAAGGUCAGUCAGCGGUGAAAAGCUGUCGCUUAACGAUAGUCUUGCUGCAGAUACUUCCUUUCUUGGAUGAGGAGGAGGCCACUGGAACGGAUGGUGUAGCGGUGAAAUGCAUAGAUAUCAUCCAGAACACCGAUUGCGAAGGCAGGUGGCUGUACCUUAAUCGACGCUGAUGCACGAAAGCAUGGGGAGCAAACAGGAUUAGAUACCCUGGUAGUCC